AACAUCUGUCAUAACAAUAAGAAUCAUCAACAUUUUAUACAUUUGCGGGGAAUGAGAUUUUGUGUGUGUGAAGGCGAUUUAAAGGUAUGGCAUGAUAGAUGUUCAAUCGCGUAAACCAGGCAAUGACAAUGAGAGUGUGGAAUUGAG